rnacentral:rRNA from 1 species
UAGUCCACGCCGUAAACGAUGACAACUAGCCGUUGGGGACCUUGAGUCUUUAGUGGCGCAGCUAACGCGAUAAGUUGUCCGCCUGGGGAGUACGGCCGCAAGGUUAAAACUCAAAUGAAUUGACGGGGCCCGCACAAGCGGUGGAGCAUGUUGUUUAAUUCGAUGCAACGCGAAGAACCUUACCACCCCUUGACAUCCUGCGAACUUUCUAGAGAUAGAUUGGUGCCUUCGGGAACGCAGUGACAGGUGCUGCAUGGCUGUCGUCAGCUCGUGUCGUGAGAUGUUGGGUUAAGUCCCGUAACGAGCGUAACCCUCGUCCUUAGUUGCCAGCAUUAAGGUGGGCACUUUAGGGAGACUGCCGGUGACAAACCGGAGGAAGGUGGGGAUGACGUCAAGUCAGCAUGCCCCUUAGUCCUGGGGCUACACACGUACUACAAUGGGUUGGGGACAAAGGGGCAGCAAACUCGCGAGAGUAAGCGAAUCUCAUCAAACCCAGCCUCAGUUCAGAUUGC